AUGCGAAGGGCUGAGAAGGAGCGACUCAAGGAAGGUCAGCCUGCUGAUGAGGAGAUGAAGAAACUCAAGAAGGAUGGGAAGAAGAAAGGUGCUGCAUCCAAGGACAGCACUGCAAAACGUGUUGCUGCAAAGAAAAAUGCUACCACUGAUGGUUCUGAUGAAGAACAUGCAAUCUCGCCAACUUACAGUCAAGGUGCUCACUUUGCGGCUGCUGCAGACGACGACGACGACGAUGAUGACGUGGAGUGGCAGACUGACACGUCAGCAGAGGCUGCGAGAAAGCACAUGGAGGAGCAGCUGAGUGCGGCGACUGCCGAGAUGGUCAUGCUUGCCACCGAAAAGGCAGAGAAUAAGAAGAGGAAGAAACAGGCCAAAAUGACUCCAUAUGAUGAACUGGUCGAGGAGAUCAAGGCCAGCUUGGGCAAUGCCGCCACUCCUGCUCAGAUCAAGGCCGUGCUGUCCUCCUCAACCCUCCCCGCCAAGGACGCGAUGCACGCCCUCUUUGAGGCGCUCUUCCAUGGUGCGGGCAAGGGGUUUGCAAAGGAUGUCAAGAAGAACAAUGACUACCUUGCUGCUGCCGUGCCUGAUGAAGGGGCCCAGAUGCUGCUGCUCCAGGCCAUCGAGGCGUUCUGCGGCAAGUGCAGCGCCGAGGCCCUGAAGGAGGUGCCGGUGGUCCUGAAAUGCCUGUAUGACGGCGACGUCCUCGAGGAAGAAGCCAUUGUCCAGUGGUACGUUGAAGCUGUUGCUGCCGGCAAGGUCUCCCAGGUUGUGAAGAAUGCCAGGCCGUUUGUGGUCUGGCUCCAGGUCGCCGAAGCGGACGAGGAGUGA
rnacentral:rRNA from 1 species